AGUGUGUUAGACUGACGUGAUAACCAACUACACCACGACACCGCUGUGUCCAUUUCGCUCCCAACUAAUCACCUAUAUCGCCAAAGCCGGUAUUAUUUUGGCGGCAAGCAAGUGAUUUUUCUGAAAUCUGAACAGCAAUCGAAUUGAAACCAAUAGGGUUUUCGUUUUUUUGUCACAGUGAAUCUUCUUGUUUUGUUGAAGCUCCACUAGCCCACAUGAAUCACUGAAUUUCUCAGCAUGAAGUAGUAAACUUGAUAUCUUACAGUUACCGGCAUUGCCCCUACAAUCAAGCGAGCGCCAUUGAAAUGGACGGAGCAGCAGCAGCUUCUUCACCGUCGACUAUUAAACCCAUAAACAAGAGCGUAGUCCAUAGAAUUUGUGCGGGUCAAGUUAUUCUGGACCUUCCCUCUGCCGUCAAGGAAUUGGUUGAAAAUAGCUUGGACGCCGGAGCUACCAGCAUCGAAGUCUCCCUCAAAGACUAUGGUUCUGAAUCCUUCCAGGUCAUUGAUAACGGUUGUGGCAUCUCGCCUCAAAAUUUCAAGGUAUUGGCGCUAAAACAUCAUACCUCAAAACUAUCAGAUUUUCCUGAUCUUCAGUCAUUAGUGACUUUUGGAUUUAGAGGGGAGGCAUUGAGUUCACUUUGUGCUUUAGGGGAUUUGACAGUUGAAACAAGAACAAAGAAUGAGCAAAUUGCGACACACUUGACUUUUGAUCAUUCGGGCCUUCUGAUAGCUGAAAGGAACAUAGCUCGCCAAGUUGGUACCACUGUCACUGUUAAGAAGUUGUUCUCCACUUUACCAGUGAGAAGUAAAGAAUUCCACCGCAAUAUCCGGAAGGAAUAUGGAAAGCUUAUCACAUUGCUGAAUGCCUAUGCUCUUAUUUCUAAGGGAGUCAGACUAGUUUGUACCAACUCAGCUCUAAAAAAUGCAAAAUCUGUAGUUCUGAAGACUCAGGGAAGUGGAUCUCUGAAAGAUAACAUUAUAACAGUAUUUGGUAUGAGUACCUUCACUUGUCUGGAGCCUCUGGAAGUGUGUAUGUCUGAUGAUUGCACUGUUGAAGGAUUCAUUUCCAAGUCUGGCUAUGGUAGUGGACGCAACUUAGGAGAUCGACAAUAUUUUUUUGUGAAUGGACGACCGGUGGAUAUGCCAAAAGUUGGCAAGCUUAUCAAUGAAUUAUAUAGAGGUGCAAACUCUCGGCAAUAUCCCAUUGCAAUCAUGAAUUUUGCGAUGCCACCAAGAGAAUUUGAUGUCAAUGUAACUCCUGAUAAAAGAAAAAUAUUUUUGUCUGACGAAGGUUCCAUAUUGCACUCUUUGAGAGAAGCUUUAGAAAAGAUAUAUUCAUCUAAUCAUGCUAGUUAUGCUGUUAAUAGUAUCCAAGAGGUUGACCAAAAACAUACAUCCACUCUUUCCCAUCUUAAGGCCUUUCAGUUUCAAUCCAAGCAAUUACUGUCGGAUAUUAAUGAUGAUCAGGAAGGUGACUGCGUUGGGAAACUACAUAAAGAGGGUCAUUUUCUAAAAAAAUCUCAGGAAUUAAAUGAUAUGCCUGUCACAGAAAUUAUGCUAAAUGAUGGACACAGGUCAACAGAGAAAGACUUCAGUCUUCGAUUCCAUGGAAAGAAAAAAGACAAUAACAGUUCCAGAAGUUCCCUGCAAGAGAUUGGUGGUCUGCCUACUGCUAUAACCGAUAGAAAUGCACUCACCCCAUGCUCAAAAGAUAAAAGUUGUAUUGAUAAUUCACGUUACGUCAAUUGUGCAAGCAUUGUCCAGUCAUCACUCACCAAAUUUGUUACGGUAAAUAAGAGAAAGCACGAGAGUAUGAGUACUACAUUAUCUGAGGUACCUAUCCUGAGAAAUGGAUCAACUGUCCACCCAUCAGAAGAAGACCAUACUUUGAAGAAUACUGCAUCUUUAAGAUCUCCAGAUAAUCCAGUUAAGGCUGAUAAGUGUGAUGAAGUGACCAUUAGUGAGUCUGGAUCUUCCAAGAUCUCAAAGAUAGACAGAUUUCUUCAUCAAAUGAAGCACUCAAGAAUGGGUAAAGUCCUUGAUCAAACAAAUGAUUUUUCUCCACCUGGAAAUAGUAUACAAAUUGGAACAUCUGAACAGGAGCAUGAAGUUCAAAUGAAUGAAUUAUGUGUUACUGAACCAGUGCCUCUUGAUUCUACUUGCAACAACAUCCAUGAUGUGUCAGAAAAUAGGGUAGAUGCUUCUUCGUCUGAACAGCCUGCUAGUCUGACUCUGGAUGAUGCUCCUAAAGCUUCAUCUAAUUCGAAGAUUGCUUCAACAUUGCAAUUUAGUGUGAAAGAACUUGUAUCAAGAAGGAACCAGAGGCUGUCAAGAUUGCAACUCCUUAAUCAUACAUCUCAAACAAUGAAAACAAAGAGGGAUUAUGCUGCAGCAACCCUGGAGCUCUCCGGAUCAGAAAAUGAAGAGGCGAAGGCAAGGGCAUUGAUUGAUGCUACCAAUGAGUUGGAGAGACUUUUCAAGAAAGAAGAUUUUACUAGAAUGAAGGUGAUCGGGCAAUUCAAUCUUGGAUUCAUUAUAGGCAGGUUGGAUCAAGACCUUUUUAUUGUUGAUCAGCAUGCGGCAGACGAGAAAUAUAAUUUUGAGCGCCUGUCACAAUCAACUAUCUUGAAUCAGCAACCUUUACUUCGGCCCUUGAAGUUGGAACUAUCUCCUGAAGAAGAAAUAGUUAUUUCCAUCCACAAUGAUACUUUCAGGAGAAAUGGAUUUCUCUUGGAAGAGGAUCCGUGUGCUCCUCCAGGGCAUCGUUUUAAGCUAAAAGCAGUUCCCUUCAGCAAAAAUAUAACUUUUGGAAUUGCAGAUAUGAAAGAACUCAUUUCCAUUCUUGCCGAUAGUGAGGAAGAAUGUUCCAUAAUGGGUGCUUAUAGGAAUGAUACAGCUGAUUCAUUAUGUCCUCCUAGAGUUCGUGCAAUGUUGGCAUCACGUGCCUGCAAAUCAUCUGUUGUUAUUGGAGAUCCACUUGGGAGAAAUGAGAUGCAAAAGAUACUUGAUAAUCUCUCGCGCCUCAAGUCUCCAUGGAAUUGUCCACAUGGUAGACCAACAAUGCGUCACUUGGUUGAUCUGAGGACUGUACAUAGAAGAUUAGAAGCGGAUGAUACCACCUUAUGAACUCCAGUUGACAGCAUCACCUAGCUAAUCGAAGCAGGAACCUUCUUUCUGUGGAGAAAAGGACACUGGCUUCUGGGUGACUAUGUGUGCUAUGCUCUCACCCCUCCUUCCAUCCGCGACAUAGUGCAGAAGGUAAAAAGUUUUUUUCAAAGUUUGGUAUUGUUAUAACAAUUUUUAAUCAAAGUUGAGGUAUAUUUCAGACAUAUUUCCUCAUUUCAAAUGAAGCAAACCUGACAAAUAAAUUUAAGACACAA